UUAACUCAAAUUUGUAUUGAGUUGUGAAGUUUGCCUACGUUUGCCGCUAGGGGCGCUGUUCCAACUGCAUACAAAUUUGAGUUA
rnacentral:pre_miRNA from 1 species